ensembl:lncRNA
GUUAGAUUAGUGUCCUGUCCAAGGGUUUAGGGUUAGACUAGUGUCCUGUCCAGGGGGUUAGGGUUAGACUAGUGUCCUGUCCAGGGGGAUAGACUAGUGUCCUGUCCAGGGCUUAGAGUUAGACUAGUGUCCUGUCCAGUGGGUUAGGGUUAGACUCGUGUCCUGUCCAGGGGGUUAGGGUUAGACUAGUGUCCUGUCCAGGGCUUAGGGUUAGACUAGUGUCCUGUCCAGGGGUUAGGGUUAGACUAGUGUCCUGUCCAGGGGGUUAGGGUUAGACUAGUGUCCUGUCCAGGAGGUUAGGGUUAGACUAGUGUCCUGUCCAGGGGGUUAGGGUUAGACUAG